CGGCCAAUCAAACGGUUUCAAACCGUCGCCCUCUUUUACUGCUCCCCCUCCCGCGCUCGCUUUUUUUUUAAUGGUAUCGCGAUAACAGCUAGUCGAGCGGAACGGUUGUUGGGCGUCUCCUAACGGCAGCAAUGGACUGAGAAGAAAAGUUAAGAGAGAGGGAGAGGAAAAGAUUGCGGCUAGCUGUAUUCGGGUCGCGAUGGAGUUCUUGCCCAUUACAGUGGGAAAGAGAGAAGGGAGCACGAGGAGGGGCUGCGCUGGAGAAAUUGCUGUUGGAAUGUCUCCUUAACCAAUGAAAAGUGGUAAAACUGAGGCAUUAGUCAUAUGACUAAAGAUGGCAUCCUAUUUAGCACAAGAAGUUCAACUUGCUAAAAGACAUGAAGAAAUCUCCACCUUCCAGCUGCUCUGAUGUGAAUCAAAAGAUGCUGUGGGCCAAGGUGCUAGGUACAGAUUAUUCAGGUGUGGCAUUUGCUGAACCUAGGUUAAGACAAUGUGGUGUUAAUUAAGGUGACAUUCCUUACUGGGGAGCUUCCCUAUUUCCAGUGUUUCUGGAUCUGAUGGCAUCUUUAUUUCAAUGACUGAUGCAUCAGAGAGGCUGUGAUCAUCUGAAUUGAAGUGCUUUUUAACCGAUUGUGGAUUUAUGGUUCCAAAAACGUGCUUAGACCCAUUGUUAUUUUACACAAGUACUGAACAUGACAACCUGGUUGCAGCUAGUGGUGUAAAUUACAUUAUAGGACCUUCAAAUGAUAUUUUAUUUGAUAUAAGUUUCUGCUAGUCAUUCUGGUCUUGAAGGUAACCUAAGAAGGGAGAGCAACUGAAGAAGGCAGAAACAGUUUGCUUUAAAACUUUAGUUUCUCCGUUUUGUUAGUAACUAACUUCUUGUUUGACCCUCGUAUGUUAAUUUAAUGCCCAUUUGCUCAGUUUGGAAAGAUCUUUUUGGAGCUCUUCACAUUCCUGUUUUGUUUUCAGCACCCUCAGUAAUUUGGUAUGUCUGUAAACUUUACUGGCUCACUGCUUGCUCCUAAGUUCAGAUCAUUUAUGAACAAGGUAUAAAGCACAGUUCUCAAUACUGCUCCGUGGGGGGUGUUCCUCACUAUUCACAUCCCUCCAUUGUGAGAAAUGGCAAUUUAUUCCUGAUCUCCGCUUCCUCUUAUUUAACCAGCUGUUGAUCCAUCCUCUUGUCCUGUGUCUAUUAAGUUUACAGAGGAGCCUUUGGUUGAAGGACUUAAUCAAAAUAUUAUUGGAAGAUUAAAUAUAUAAUGUAUUCUAGAUAACCCUUAUAUACGUGCUUUGCAACACUCUCAAAGAACUCCAAAAGUCUAGUCAAGCCAUUUUUUUAGAAGCCAUGCUGGUUCUCCUCAACAAGACUUAUUCUUCUAUAUGAUUAUCAUUUUGUCUUUAAAAAAGCAACCCCAUAUAAAAGGCAUCCCCA